rnacentral:rRNA from 1 species
UACGUAGGGGGCAAGCGUUGUCCGGAAUUAUUGGGCGUAAAGAGCGCGUAGGCGGCCAGAUAAGUCCGGUGUGAAAGUCAAAGGCUCAACCUUUGAAUGCCGCUGGAAACUGUCUGGCUAGAGUCCGGGAGGGGCGAGUGGAAUUCCUGGUGUAGCGGUGAAAUGCGCAGAUAUCAGGAGGAACACCAAUGGCGAAGGCAGCACUCUGGGACGGUACUGACGCUGAGACGCGAAAGCGUGGGGAGCAAACAGG